rnacentral:rRNA from 1 species
GGUUAAGUUAGAAAGGGCGCACGGUGGAUGCCUUGGCACUAGGAGCCGAAGAAGGACGGGACUAACACCGAUAUGCUUUGGGGAGCUGUACGUAAGCGUUGAUCCAGAGAUUUCCGAAUGGGGGAACCCACUAUCUUUAGUCGGAUAGUAUCCUUACGUGAAUACAUAGCGUGAGGAAGGCAGACCCAGGGAACUGAAACAUCUAAGUACCUGGAGGAAGAGAAAGAAAAAUCGAUUUCCUGAGUAGCGGCGAGCGAAACGGAAAGAGCCCAAACCAAGAAGCUUGCUUCUUGGGGUUGUAGGACACUCUAUACGGAGUUACAAAAGAAAGUUAUAAAUGAAGCGGUCUGGAAAGGCCCGCCAAAGACGGUAACAGCCCGGUAGUUGAAAUGGCUUUCCCUCCAGAGUGGAUCCUGAGUACGGCGGAACACGUGAAAUUCCGUCGGAAUCCGGGAGGACCAUCUCCCAAGGCUAAAUACUCCCUAGUGACCGAUAGUGAACCAGUACCGUGAGGGAAAGGUGAAAAGCACCCCGGAAGGG